rnacentral:sRNA from 1 species
UAUUUUAAUUACACAACUUUACAUGUUUUGACUUCUUUAUCUGGCACCUGUGAGCGUUUUAAUAACAUAAUUUGAACAAUGGUCAUUAACACUAAUUAUACUUAUUGUUAUUUGUUUAUUUAAUUUUAUCCACGAUACUAAGUUAUUCAAUAACCAAUUAUAUUUUGUAUCUAGAGAUUAUCUUUAUGGGCGUUACUCUGUAAUUAUCGACGAAAUAAAACCAAGAGCUAAAUGCAAAAUGGCACCUUUUGACAUUUGCUAUCUAAAUUAAUAAAUUUUAUAUUUUGGCAUAUUUUAAUAUUUGGUUUUAUUUCGAAGGUAAAUAUAUUUUUAUUUUAUUUUUAUUUUAUUUUAUUUUUCUUUUAUAAGAACUGUUUUACUGUGAAUUUAUAUCACCUUUUGACAUUUGCUAUCUAAAUUAAUAAAUUUUAUAUUUUG